CGUUGUUGUCGAAGUGGCUAUUCAACGGUCUCACUCCCGUCAGAACUACCAAUGGUCAGUUCAGCUCAGCGAAGCCGAGAAAUGCAACUUUAUUUAUGUGAGUUUGUACUGGGCUGUGGUCUGCAUGAGUUAUGAUCGGUAUUGCUAUCAUCCAUUGAUAGAUCAGUAUGGGUUUUGCUAUUCAUCAGCCUCACAAUGAGUACGAUCUUCGUGUUUGUGGAGGCGGAACUGAGUAAGGAGCCUAUUAUGUCGUUGAGGCUGCUGAGCUACGUACCAUGAUUCUACUGCCUUCCAUUCCAUUAAUGGUAAGUUAAUGCAGGCAGCGGAAUCCAGCUUCCGUAGCUUUUUCAAAUUGGCUGUUAUCUAUUAUGGAACUCAGCGUGAUUUAUGGCAUGCCAUUAUAUUUCUCGGUGGUGCAGCUCACCCGCUCAAAGUUUGCCGGAAACUAUCUCGUGACCCCACAGGGUGUCUUUGACGACGCAUCAAAAAUCAUCCUACCUCAUGAAAGCAUCUCUCUUCAAAGUUAUUCUCCCAUUCGGCUCCGUCUCUGCCUGAUGGUACAUGCGACGAAUUGGCAAGUUCUACUAGAUGGCAGCGUUCAUGUGUAGCAUGUCUUUUUUCUCCAAGGUUAUGUUUUUCAUCUGGGGGCCUGACCUUCCAAACUGGUUACUAUGUGUGGCUGUUGCUCCUUCUGGGUCCGGCGUGGCGGAAGUACUGACGAACACAUUGAUUAUUCUUACUGGGGGUGUGGACAAGGCGGAUAGUGCUUGCAGUACUGGAAUCUCAUAUCUCUCAAGACCUACCGCAUAAGUGAUGCAUAUGCAACAGCUGCAUGCUGGAACCUAACAUCACCGUCCUCCAUAUGUUACAUUCAGAUUUUCGGCGUCGCCCUCAGUAAUGCUUUGAUGUAAUCGAUGCUUCAGAAGAAGCUAUCGGCUGGAAUUAACAGAUCAAGGUCAAAGGAAGUUAGUUAUCACCAGUCUAAAGUUCUCUAUUAGACACAACUGUUUGUACACGGAUUACUGGACGCAUUCGUCACUCUACAUCCCCAAUAAUCUAUCUUCCUUCCGCGUGACAUCAAAACGGCAUUAGCUAUCGACGCAUAUCAGGCUCCGAAUAAUUUUCAUCUUUAUCGCACUGUGUCGGCACAUGUUUACGCGCGACUUCUGGACGACUUCUGGACGAAUCAACAGUCAGUUUGCACUUCUGACAAGGCUAUGCCGUUCAAAUAUCGGCGUGGUCUGGCAGCAAGCAAUCUGGUGCUGGCGCUGAAGUGACAGAUGAGGCGAAAUUUAGGUGGGAAACAGAUGGAAAAUAAACAAAGUUAUGAAUAGCUCGCUAAAACAGUGAUUAUACAAAAAUUGGGGAAUAUUCCAAAAGUCCAUUUACAACCCUAGCCAGUGUUUCUUAUCCAAGUAUUCCGUUCGACUGUUCUUCCUUCUCCCUCAGUCACUGCCAAGGUCAACUUUACAUACCAGUGAAGUUAGGAUUGCUGGCGGAAGAAGCGAAAGGAAGGUCAAUGAUGGCUGGGCCAGCAAUGAUGUUGGAAUCGUCAACCAUGGUGGUGUUAGACGUUGAAGAUACGACUGCGUAAGCAAUGCCCUGAAGAGAGGGUGGGAUGGUAACCAUCAUGUCGGUGACGGGGAGGGCGAGGAUAGUGAGGCCAGAAUAGAGAAUAAGGGUGUCGGAUGAACUAGCACCGGUAUAGUUGAGGAUGGCGGUGGAACCGGCAGCGUCACAAGACAGAGUGAGAGCUGGGAAUGCCUUGACUGGGAGAGUUGGGUUGGAGGAUGGGCAGCUGGUGAUGAAAGCAGCGGCAAUGGAGUAGACAUCGGACAGACCGAGAGGAGUGUCGUACGGGCCGGACCAUGGGUUCUGCUUGUUAACGGCGGAGGCGAUCCAGGCCUGGUGGCGCGCCUCGGUGGUGAGAAUGGAACCAGCAACGCUGCGGAAGGGAGCAGGGGAAGAGUCAGACAGUGAUUCAUGCGAUGUGGGAAGCCCAUAUACACUCACGUCAAGUAGGUCUUGUCCAUGAUAAAACCGGCGGCACCGAGGUAAGCAGAAACACCAACGUUCUCAAUAACCUGUGAGAGAGCAGUGAAUGACUUGGCAUCGGUGUAUGGGAAGGAGUACUCGCAUGGCUGAGUGGCGUCAGUGCCGAGGGCAUCAGAUAGAACGGCGACGUGGGAGGCCUCGUGAGUGGCAAUCUGCUCGAACCUGUUCCGCACCCAGGUUGGGAAUCCGGCAUCGACGAACGCUUGGGUGUCCAUGUUCUUGAGGGCAGUGGAGUAGAAGUUGCUUAUGGUAAUAGAGGCGGAAGGAGUAUCAGGAAGCAUUUUCCAAAAGCGAGGCCAGAAAAACAUGGCUCACUUCUCCAGGUGCUCGAGAGUCAACGCAUACUGUAGGAUAUCAGUGUCGGUUGGGGUGUAAACAUCUCUCUUGAUUGGAGUGGCUUGAACGGCGAGGGCACCGAUAGCGGCGACAGCAAUAGUGGAGUACUUCAUCGUACGUAUAUUAAUGAAAGACUGGGUCGGUGAGGAAUGUUGUGUGUGUGCGUGUGUGUGAGAAGUAUGAGAUUGGUUCCAGAAAGAGAAAGAAAAGGAAAGGGCAAAAGGGCAUGAUAGGAAGAAGGCACUUCAUAUAUGUAUUGAAGUUGAC
rnacentral:sRNA from 1 species